rnacentral:rRNA from 1 species
GCAGAGCAUCCUACGGGAGGCAGCAGUGGGGAAUAUUGCACAAUGGGCGCAAGCCUGAUGCAGCCAUGCCGCGUGUAUGAAGAAGGCCUUCGGGUUGUAAAGUACUUUCAGCAGUGAGGAAGGUGGGUAUGUUAAUAGCAUACUCAUUUGACGUUAGCUGCAGAAGAAGCACCGGCUAACUCCGUGCCAGCAGCCGCGGUAAUACGGAGGGUGCGAGCGUUAAUCGGAAUUACUGGGCGUAAAGCGCAUGCAGGUGGUUGUUAAGUCAGAUGUGAAAGCCCGGGGCUCAACCUCGGAAUUGCAUUUGAAACUGGCAAACUAGAGUACUGUAGAGGGGGUAGAAUUUCAGGUGUAGCGGUGAAAUGCGUAGAGAUCUGAAGGAAUACCGGUGGCGAAGGCGGCCCCCUGGACAGAUACUGACACUCAGAUGCGAAAGCGUGGGGAGCAAACAGGAUUAGAUACCCUGGUAG